UACGGAGGGGCUAGCGUUGUUCGGAAUUACUGGGCGUAAAGCGCACGUAGGCGGCUUUAUAAGUUAGAGGUGAAAGCCCAGGGCUCAACCCUGGAAUUGCCUUUAAGACUGCAUCGCUUGAACAUCGGAGAGGUAAGUGGAAUUCCGAGUGUAGAGGUGAAAUUCGUAAGAUAUUCGGAAGAACACCAGUGGCGAAGGCGACUUACUGGACGAUUGUUGACGCUGAGGUGCGAAAGCGUGGGGAGCAAACAGG
rnacentral:rRNA from 1 species